GUAAGGAAUAUUGGACAAUGGUCGGAAGACUGAUCCAGCCAUGCCGCGUGAAGGAAGAAGGCGCUCAGCGUUGUAAACUUCUUUUGGACGGGAAUAAUAACCUCCACGAGUUGGGGGCUUGAAGGUACCGUCAGAAUAAGCACCGGCUAACUCCGUGCCAGCAGCCGCGGUAAUACGGAGGGUGCAAGCGUUAUCCGGAAUCACUGGGUUUAAAGGGUGCGUAGGCGGCCUGAUAAGUCAGUUGUGAAAUAUCCUCGCUUAACGAGGGGACUGCGAUUGAUACUGUCAGGCUUGAAUUGGGUUGAGGCAGGCGGAAUGUGGCAUGUAGCGGUGAAAUGCAUAGAUAUGCCAUAGAACACCGAUUGCGAAGGCAGCCUGCUGGGCCUUGAUUGACGCUGAGGCACGAAAGCGUGGGGAGCAAACAGGAUUAGAUACCCUAGUAGUCC
rnacentral:rRNA from 1 species